GCAGGUAACAACUGAAGGUUCUAAGGGAGCCCAGUGGAGGGGAGCUGAGGCCUUGGAGAUGACACCCGAGCUUGGGUUUGAAGGAUUAGGAAGACUUAGCCAGUGAAAAAGGUGGGAAGAGACCCCCUAAGUGAAGAGGAAAGCAUAAGCAAAUGUACCAAGGUGGGAGGUUCAUGCAGAGUGACAGGAAGCUCCCGAAGCUGCUUCCAUGUUGCUGUGUAAUCGGAAUGUGGAAACGAGAGGGGAUGCAGGGUGCAAAGACCAGCAAAGGAAAUCUGCUUUAUUUUGUAGGCAAUGGAAAGCCCUGAUGGAGCCCGGUGUAAACUAUGCAGGGUGCCAGAGCCCCCACUGACAGCGCUGGUGUCCACAUGUGGUCACAGGGAUACAGCGGCAGCAUCCCAAAGCCCUAGCCUGGUCCAUCACCCUCAAAACUGCCUCUGGUUUGUCCAAGUCUACCAGGAUUCAAGUUCAUUUCAGAAAAGCAGUGGCCAGAAACCAAGGCCUGGAGGGGGCUGGGGAGGUGUCAGGGAAGGGAUCAGAGGCCAAGCUCUGUGUUUCCUCAGACAAAGAGAGAAAGCAGGCUGAGAGAUGGCGGCAGCAUGUGACACCUGGGCCACAGGCCUGGGCAGCAGCCGUGGCAGCCAAGGGGAUAAUGGCUCUCUUUGUCCUGCGUGUAAAUUCUCCGGAAAAGAAAGGAUUCCAGGGCCUGCUUCUCCGGCUUGCACAAUGCUGGCCGCCUGGGGCCCCACUGCGAGGGCCUGCCAUGGCAUUCGGGGAGCAGUGAGGCCCCUUCUCUGUCUCGUUCCUUCCAGGCGUGCAGAAGCGGAAAGUCAGGCUGCCGUGCCAGACAUUCUGCAGGGGGUUGGGAGGCUGGGCUGAGGCACAGCCUGUGCCAGGAGCUUUGUUUCACAGCCUCGAGGAAACCAAAGCAUCUUGAAGCUCUGAAUUAGAAAGAGUCUUAGAGAGCAUCCAUGCCAGCUCUUCCUAAUACUUGUCCCACCCCCUACCUUCUCUGCCUACCACUCCCCACUCCCCUGCCUUCAGCAGCCAAGAAUGGUUACAAACACAGGCUUUGGAGUCAGAGAGGGCUGAGUUCAAAUGCUGACAAUGCCACUCACAAGCUAUUUCAUCUCUAUGGGCUUCAGUUUCUCCACCUGCAAAAUGGACAUAAUAGCACCUACUCAUAAGAUUGUCAAUAGGAAUAAGUGAGAAAAUGCAUGUACCAUGCUUAAUGUGGACACAGCCUCCAGAAGCGCUCAAUAAGGGUAGACGGUCCAGUAGGUCACCCAGCCUGUACUUGAUUUCCUCCAAGGGCAGGCAAUCACUGCUUGCAUUCCAUUUUCAGACCAAGUUCAAAUCUGUCUCUUAUACCCUCAUGGGUGCUGAGGGUAAAGGGGAGAGGGCCUACAUACAUUAAACAUUUCCUACAUGUUACUGUUGCCAUAAAUUACUCACAGAACUUAAGGGCCUGUCUUAGUCUAUUUGUGUUGCUAUAAAGGAAUACCCGAGGCUGGGUAAUUUAUAAAGACAAGAGGUUUAUUUGGCUCAUGGUUCUGCAGGCUGUACAAGAAGCAUGGAGCCAGCGUCUGGUCUGGUGAGGGCCUCAGGAAGCUUCCAUUCAUGGAAAGGGGAAGGAGAGCUAGUGUGCAGAGAUCACAUGCUAAGAGAGGAAUGGGGAGGGGGUGGUGCAGAGGUGCCAGGAUUUUUAGCAGCCAGCUCUCAUGAAAACUAAUAGAGUGAGAGCUCAUUUAUUACAAUGCAAGAAUGGCACCAAGCAAUUCAUGAGGGAUCAGCCACCAUGACACAAACACCUCCCAUGAGGCCCCACCUCCAGUAUUGGGGAUCACAUUUCAACAUGAGGGUUGGAGGGGUCAAAUAUCCAAACCAUAGCAGGGCCUGUCCAGGGCCACACAGAGGAAGUGACCAGGAUUUGAGCCUGAGUCUUUCCAGCCUUCUGCACCAUGAUGCCGUAAGGGAAAACUUUAUAUAUGUGAAAACAGCUCCACGGCCCCCUCAGUGUCUUCUCUUCCCCACAGAAAACAUCUCCUAGGCCUCAGGGUUUCGUUUUGUGUUCUGCCACCAUCCUGGCCCCUAUCCUCUUGACAGGCUCUAAUUUGUUACUGUCUCUCUUAAAUAAAUAGCUUGCAGACUUAUUCCAGCUGUCUUCUGACCAGUGCAGAAUAGGAAUGCACUCUCACCUCCUUUAUUCUAGGGGCUCUGUUUUUGCUAAUAACACCUAAGAUGAUGUGGCCCUUGGACCAUUCACAUUAUGCUGAUGGCUCUCUCAUACUUAAUGAUCUUCAAUCUGCAAGAAUAACAAGAGCCUUUGUGCUCUGAACAGCUCGUAGCAGUCAUUGCAGAUCUUCAUUUCAGGUAAUAGAACCUUCUUCAACUAGUUUAAGCAGUCAAGCCUUUUAUAUAUUUGGUGGCUCACAGAAUCUCCAGCAGGGCUGAAGAGUCAGGCGUGGAAGAGACACACCCAGGAACAACUCACCAACCACUCCUGACCCGGCUUCUCCACUGGAGACACCAUUGCCAUUAGACAAGAAUGAACCUGCACACCUUGCUGAUGCUGGUGUAGCACUGUCGCUAGAACCUCUGCCUCUGCUCCUCUUGGUCUCCCACAUUCAGUACCUCCUUCUUCACCUUGGUCUCUUCUAAGCCUCCGCCCCUCCCACAAUGGAUAGGGCUGACCUGUGUAACCAACAGGAUGUUGCAGAAAUGACAUAGUGUGACUUCAACACUAAGUCACAUAAGACAUCGCAACUUCUGCCUUGCUCUUUUGGAGCACUUGUUGUAGGGAAAACCAGCUGCCAUGUCAUAAGGACACUUAAGCAAUGCUCUGGAGAGAUCUACAUGGCAAAGAACUGAGGCCUCCUGCCAACCCCCAGCACAAAUGAGCCAGGCAUGCAAGACAUCAUCUUGGAAAGGGAUCCUGCAGCCUCACUUGAGCCUUCAGAUGAUGCAGCUCCAGCUGACAUCUUGGCUGCAACCUCAUGAGGGACCCUGGGCCAGCACCACCCAGCCAAGCUGCUCCAGACACCUGAUCCACAAAAACUUUGUGAGAUAAUAAAAUAAAAUACAUUUUAACAUUUUUUGCUUACA
rnacentral:lncRNA from 1 species